GACGAACGCUGGCGGCGUGCCUAAUACAUGCAAGUCGAACGAAGUGGGGACGGGUGAGUAACACGUGGGUAACCUCCCAUCAGAGGGGAUAACACUUGGAAACUGGUGCUAAACCGAUACUGAUGGAUGGACCCGCGGUGCAUUAGCUAGUUGGUGAGGUAACGGCUCACCAGGGCCACGAUGCAUAUCCGGCCUGAGAGGGUGAUCGGCCAAACUGUGACUGAGACACGGCCCAGACUCCUACGGGAGGCAGCAGUAGGGAAUCGUCUGCAAUGGACUAAAGUCUGACCGAGCAACGCCGCGUGUGUGAAGAAGGUUUUCGGAUCGUAAAACUCUGUUGUUAGAGAGGCGGUAUCUAACCAAAAAGCCACGGCUAACUACGUGCCAGCAGCCGCGGUAAUAC
rnacentral:rRNA from 1 species